AUUAAAUGAAUUAGCACCAACUAAUGGUCCUUCCUAUUUCUGCUGCCUAGCUAUCAUAUAUGUUAAGUUUUGAUCAAAACAGUCGGUAUUAAGUCUCGUACUAUCACACACACACCUCAGAUAAUAAAAUUGUCUCGAGUGGGUGGAAGUAUUUAUGUUUUGCUACUCAGCGUAUUAUAUGCUUAUUGUCAAGUGGGCCCGAACUAGUUUUUUGGAAUGAUCAAUCAGUCAUGCUUUCCUGUUUAAAUAAAAUACAGCACAAUUGAUCUCACAUCCAAAGUUAGAUGAUGGCAUUCACGUUUUGUUUCCUGGUGUUUGAUAACUAAGUUACACCAAGUGGCCUGUGACCACGUUCAUCCUUCUACCCAAUAUAAAAUAAUGUUUUUAUUUUUGUAGACAAAGGUUUGAUAAUGACAAAAUUUUAUGGAAAAAUUAUAAGGAGCACUAAAAUGUCUGAAACAUGAAAAGAUUGAUGCACUAUAUUGGAACCAGAACGUGUUAUGUAAUAUAUUAAUUUAAGAGAAACUGAUUCAUCAAGGAACGUGAACUCUCAAGGGAUCUUAAUUUUUUUAAAAUAUGUUUAUAAUUGAUAAAUUAAUAAUUGAAAUAGUUCAUAAGAACUAAAUUGAUGCCAAUUUUGUUUUAAAAUAGGUUGUUUAGUUCUUAUAGUUAUAGUAUUACGUUUGAAUAGUUGUAAUUAGUAAGUUAGUAAUAUAUGAAAAUACUGAUAUAAAUUUUUGUAAAUAACCUUUCGUAAAUUCUACGAGAAGAUGAUUUUAAUUAAUGAUCAAAAGUCAACGGUCUUUAAAAGCAUUAUUUGCAAUUAUUUAGAUUAACUGUGGAAUAUAUUUGCUAAGUUGUGUUUUCUGUAUGAGCAGAUAUAAAUGAAAAUGCCCAAACAUGAUUAUGUUUCUUACAUUUUCAUUAUGUGAAAUCAAUAUGCUUGUGACUGAGUAUAUUAAUAAUUUAUUAAAACUUAAGUGAUAGACAGCAACCCCUAUGGCACUGCUGAAGUUUAUAAGCACUGGUGACCACUUAUCAUGGGCCGGGUUGCGUGCUCGUCUGCUGUUGAGUGCAAUAAAAAUUUUCGAAACCCUUUCUAUUAUUUAGAUGUAAUAUUAGUGUACAUUUAAUUUGGAUUAAAAGAUAAAUUUACAUUUUAUGUUUGCAUGUGUAUGUUUAUAAUUCAUUUGCAUGUAACGAACACCAGUUUCUUUUGUAACAAAAUGUAAACUAAUGGUUUGUAAUGAAUGUAAUUAACUUUAAGAUGAUUUUCUUUCAAUCUGCUGUUUGUUUCAUCUAGUAUUACCAAAGCUAAAGCAUCAGAAACGUCAGAAUAGAAAUAAUUUAGAUAGGGAAUAAAAGUAUAACUAAUGUAAUCAUGUCUAAGAUUACUAUAAGCGUCAUUAAGUACAAACUAUCAAUAUUUAAGAGUACUUUAAAUCAUCAUUACAUUUUUUAAACAUU